rnacentral:rRNA from 1 species
AGAGUUUGAUCCUGGCUCAGAACGAACGCUGGCGGCGUGCUUAACACAUGCAAGUCGAACGCGAAAGUUUUCUUCGGAAAGCGAGUAGAGUGGCGCACGGGUGAGUAACGCGUAAGUUAUCUACCUCGGCAUCUGGAAUAACUCACCGAAAGGUGUGCUAAUACCGGAUACGUUUAUCUUGAUGCGAAUUGAGUAAUCAGGAAAGGUGGCCUCUGAAUAUGCUACUGUGCUGAGAUGAGCUUGCGUACCAUUAGCUAGUUGGUAGGGUAAUGGCCUACCAAGGCGACGAUGGGUAGCCGGCCUGAGAGGGUGACCGGCCACACUGGAACUGAGACACGGACCAGACUCCUACGGGAGGCAGCAGUGAGGAAUAUUGCGCAAUGGGGGCAACCCUGACGCAGCGACGCCGCGUGGAUGAUGAAGGCCCUUGGGUCGUAAAAUCCUGUCAGAUGGAAAGAAAUGCCACAGGGCUAAUAUCUUUGUGGUUUGACGGUACCAUCAAAGGAAGCACCGGCUAACUCCGUGCCAGCAGCCGCGGUAAUACGGAGGGUGCAAGCGUUGUUCGGAAUUACUGGGCGUAAAGCGCGCGUAGGCGGUUUGCUCAGUCAGAUGUGAAAGCCCUCGGCUUAACCGGGGACGUGCAUUUGAAACUGGCAGACUUGAGUAUUGGAGGGGGUGGUGGAAUUCCUGGUGUAGCGGUGAAAUGCGUAGAUAUCAGGAGGAACACCCGUGGCGAAGGCGGGUUGCUGGACCAAAACUGACGCUGAGACGCGAAAGCGUGGGUAGCAAACAGGAUUAGAUACCCUGGUAGUCCACGCUGUAAACGAAUGAGUGCUAGGUGUAGGGGGUAUCGACCCCCUCUGUGCCGCAGCUAACGCAUUAAGUUGACCGCCUGGGGAGUACGGUCGCAAGAUUAAAACUCAAAGGAAUUGACGGGGGCCCGCACAAGCGGUGGAGUAUGUGGUUUAAUUCGACGCAACGCGCAGAACCUUACCUGGUCUUGACAUCCCGGGAAUCUUGUGGAAACACGAGAGUGCCUCGCAAGAGGAGCCUGGUGACAGGUGCUGCAUGGCUGUCGUCAGCUCGUGUCGUGAGAUGUUGGGUUAAGUCCCGCAACGAGCGCAACCCUUAUCUUUAGUUGCCAUCAUUAAGUUGGGCACUCUAAAGAGACUGCCGGUGUCAAACCGGAGGAAGGUGGGGAUGACGUCAAGUCCUCAUGGCCCUUAUGUCCAGGGCUACACACGUACUACAAUGGUCGGUACAAAGGGCGGCGAGCUCGCGAGAGUCAGCUAAUCCCAUAAAACCGGUCUCAGUCCGGAUCGGAGUCUGCAACUCGACUCCGUGAAGUUGGAAUCGCUAGUAAUCGUGGAUCAGCAUGCCACGGUGAAUACGUUCCCGGGCCUUGUACACACCGCCCGUCACACCACGAAAGUCGGUUGUACCAGAAGACGUUGAGCUAACCGCAAGGAGGCAGGCGUCCAAGGUAUGGCUGGUAAUUGGGGUGAAGUCGUAACAAGGUAACC